UACGUAGGGUGCAAGCGUUGUCCGGAAUUAUUGGGCGUAAAGAGCUCGUAGGCGGUCUGUCGCGUCUGCUGUGAAAACUCGGGGCUUAACCCCGGGCCUGCAGUGGGUACGGGCAGACUAGAGUGCGGUAGGGGAGACUGGAAUUCCUGGUGUAGCGGUGAAAUGCGCAGAUAUCAGGAGGAACACCGGUGGCGAAGGCGGGUCUCUGGCCUGUUCUUGACGCUGAGGCGCGAAAGCUAGGGGAGCAAACGGG
rnacentral:rRNA from 1 species